ACGAUUUUUCCCCAUGGAUAAGGCGCACUGGACUCCAACCGUGGUGUGAACGACGGCAGCGCACGGACAACGCCACAAGUGAAACAGAGGCAGAGACGGACGGCGACGCAGAAGUGAUCAGCAACAAGCGACAAGAAGAAAAGUUUAAAAUUGAAGGAAGGAAACACUAGGAAAUAAGAUUAGAUAGGAUAUCUAGGAAUCGCAAUAAGGAAGACAGACUCAGUAUGAAGAUCAUGAAAUGGAUUACACUAUGGCUCAUGGUGAGCGAUAUCUACAUCUCCCUCUUGCAAAUCAAGGAGGGAGCAUCCAAAAAGAACAUGGUCAUGUCAAGAUGGUACACGACAUAGCGGUUGUAAUCAUCAUCAUUACAACAGUACAAGGACAAUAACAAGAACUAAGAUUUGGUUGUUAAACUAAGUUAUUAGUUGAAACAGAACCCUUUUAACAGCAAACUUGAUGUGAUUCUUGUUCGUUAAGGAGUGAACGAUAAAUACAAGGGUGUUGUUGUCUUCAAUCUUCUUCAUGGCAGACUCAGUGGUCAAAGGGUAUUUGAUAAUGUUGAAGGAGUUAAGCUUGCUCUUUCUUGGUCUUGAGAAGCGGUGAUACUUGGGAUCCUUGGGUAGUUGUAUUGUGUUGGUGAUUUGAUUAAUGGC